rnacentral:rRNA from 1 species
AUAGGAAAAGUAAAGGCAUCUUUGCUUUUUUAAAAGAUCUUCUUUGAAGGUAUGCUUAAGGAGGGGCUUGCGACACAUUAGUUAGUUGGCAGGGUAAAGGCCUACCAAGACUAUGAUGUGUAGCUGGACUGAGAGGUUGAACAGCCACAUUGGGACUGAGACACGGCCCAAACUCCUACGGGAGGCAGCAGUAGGGAAUUUUCGGCAAUGGAGGAAACUCUGACCGAGCAACGCCGCGUGAACGAUGAAGUACCUCGGUAUGUAAAGUUCUUUUAUUAAGGAAGAAAAAAGAGUGGAAAAACUCCCUUGACGGUACUUAAUGAAUAAGCCCCGGCUAAUUAUGUGCCAGCAGCCGCGGUAAUACAUAAGGGGCGAGCGUUAUCCGGAAUUAUUGGGCGUAAAGGGUGCGUAGGCGGUUUAAUAAGUCUAUAGUUUAAUUUCAGUGCUUAACGCUGUUGUGCUAUAGAAACUGUUUUACUAGAGUGAGAUAGAGGCAAGCGGAAUUCCAUGUGUAGCGGUAAAAUGCGUAAAUAUAUGGAGGAACACCAGAGGCGUAGGCGGCUUGCUGGGUCUUUACUGACGCUGAGGCACGAAAGCGUGGGGAGCAAACAGGAUUAGAUACCCUGGUAGUCCACGCCGUAAACGAUGAGUACUAAGUGUCGGGUAAAACUGGUACUGAAGUUAACACAUUAAGUACUCCGCCUGAGUAGUACGUACGCAAGUAUGAAACUUAAAGGAAUUGACGGGACUCCGCACAAGCGGUGGAUCAUGUUGUUUAAUUCGAAGAUACACGAAAAACCUUACCAGGUCUUGACAUUUUCUUGCGAAAUUAUAGAAAUAUAAUGGAGGUUAUCAGGAAAACAGGUGGUGCAUGAUUGUCGUCAGCUCGUGUCGUGAGAUGUUAGGUUAAGUCCUAAAACGAGCGCAACCCUUGUCGUUAAUUGCCAGCAUGUAAUGAUGGGGACUUUAACGAGACUGCCAAUGAAAAAUUGGAGGAAGGUGGGGAUUACGUCAAAUCAUCAUGCCCCUUAUGAUCUGGGCUACAAACGUGAUACAAUGGUUGAUACAAAGAGUAGCUGAAACGCGAGUUCUUAGCCAAUCUCAAAAAAUCAAUCUCAGUUCGGAUUGAAGUCUGCAACUCGACUUCAUGAAGUUGGAAUCGCUAGUAAUCGCGAAUCAGCAUGUCGCGGUGAAUACGUUGG